ensembl:lncRNA
UCUAGACUCAGAGAGCCUCUCUCUCUAUGGAGGACCUCUAGACUCAGAGAGCCUCUCUCUCCAUGGAGGACCUCUAGACUCAGAGAGCCUCUCUCUCUAUGGAGGACCUCUAGACUCAGAGACCUCUCUCUCUAUGGAGGACCUGUAGACUCAGAGAGCCUCUCUCUCUAUGGAGGACCUGUAGACUCAGAGAGCCUCUCUCUCUAUGGAGGACCUCUAGACUCAGAGAGCCUCUCUCUGGGCUAUGAGGACCAGGCUGAAAGAGGUCAAAGAUACGGUUGGUGAUGCAUCUUCACGUAGGACAUCCAAGGAAUCCUUUCUCUUUUUAUUAUCCCCCCCCCACCCGAGUUGUAUUUUAGAUCUUUAACGAGGAAACAAACUGGAGUCUUUCGCGGUCCGAGUGCUGCGUUUCAACGGUUAUUUGUCUUAUUUAAAACAUUUUUUAAAUCCGACCGGUUGGUUAGUUGGUCUGGAGGUGUGCCGCUCCCCCCCUUCCAGUGCUACGUCUCUAAAGUUUAGCUGCUCCGUCGGGCCCAGGAACAGACUUUGAAGACGGACACCACCGGACAUUUGAGCUGCACAGAGCGCCAGUCAGAUCCAACACAGAGCUUUCCAAAAUGGCCGUAUUGCACUUGUUCUUUGGUUUGUUUUUUAUUGUUUCAUAAUUUUACGUCAGCCCUCUCUCCGGCCCAGCAGGGGACGGAAGAGGGAAAAGUUGAAAGUAAAGAUUUUUUUUUUUUUUUUUUUUUAAUGGACCAAAGUUGUAUCACACAGGAAUAAGGUCAAUAUUCAUCACUCCCCGUUGUUCUCUGGUCUCAUUUUUCAACAAUAACAAUUAUUGAAAGAAAAAUAAUGUCAUUUCUCUAGCUUGUUUCUAGUUAUUGGAUGUUAAACAGAUCUUUUGCAAAGCAUCCUAGUAAACUCAAACAGAGAGUCUUCAGCUACCGCGGGAGGAUAUUUUGUUUCAUAGCUCCUAGUCUCGACGUACCCCAAACACAGCACAGUGAAAUAGGGUUUUACUGCCUUUAUAUUUAUUGCUACAUUGCCAAGACUUUAACUUUCUUAAGUUUGUUUUUUUAGGUCGGUCAACAGUCAACAUGAAAUGCCAGAAAAAUAAUCGUACAAAAAUAAUAUAUAUUUGUUUUCUUUUACAUGACAAUGCAAGACCAUACUAUUUUGUUGUCCGCCAUCUGCUUGGUCUUUCAGUUAAGUUAGUAAGUAGGAAGAGGGGCAGGUUGCUUGAACCUUUUCUGAGUGCGGUUUGGUAGUCAGUGUAACUAUGAAUCAUAUUAUAUAUACAUUACAUAAUAUAUAUAUUAUAAUAUGUUAUAUAAUAUAAUAUAUAAUUAAUAUAUAUGUAUUUAAUAUAUAUAUUAUAUAUUUCAUAUAUAUAUAUUAUCAUUAUAUAUGCACACAAAUUGAUCUUGCAAAAUAUUGAUUUUGAAGAAUUCAGAUGUUACCUCAAUUAUUUCUGUUGAUAGUCUUUUUUAGGCAAACGUAGGCUAACUUUCCUUAAUAAUGUGUGUUUCAGAUAUCGUCAUGGUUUUGAAAGACUUUAAAUAAUGCCUUUUCUUCAAAGCAUUCAGAGAAGGGCAAGGGGUAACUAUGGCGAUGGGGCAUGAUUAGUACAGUCAGACGGAAGCAGGAGAUAUAAAAGGGAACAGUAUGUUAAAUAGCAGAGCGGGAGAGAGAGAGUCAGCCUGAAAGGAGAUUCAGAGGGGUCUUAUGGGGGCUGAACUGGAGAACUGUUCUUCUCCUGAUGUUUGAGGGUUGUGAUAUGUGUCGUUGGUCUGUUGGAAUUCAGGGGCAGAAGAAGCUCUUAAAAGUUAAAACAAAUGAGGGUGUCAAAUUUGAAAACAUCCUUAUGGAAUUGUGUACAAUUGUUUAGCGUCUUCUUCACCCAUGUUUCGUGUUUUUUUUUUACUGAAGAUAUUUCCUGUUGUAUAUGUGGCAUCAAGGCACUUGCUCGUUUUCUUUAUAUUUUUGUACAUUUCAACUUGUCUAAUUAUCGUUCCAGUUCUGAACAAAUUAAAAUAAUUUAAAAAAUAUGUAUAUCCACGUUUAAUAAUAAACCCAUAACCUCAAAGGUCAGUUUACUCUUCACCGUGUUUUAUUUGAACCGAGGGAUCCAAAUAAAACAACACAACUGAGUCUGUCUAUUAAGGGGCAGAUUUCUGCCCCUUAACAAUUCAACAAUAAACAAAGGUAAGGAAGGAGUUCCCUUCU